CUUAUUGCCAGUUACAUUAAGUACAGUAUGUGACAAGAGUUUAUUAAUACUGUACUGUAGUCAACAUCCAUGUGAGCAUGUGCAAUGGCCCCCAUGCAGAAAAAUAUUCCAUUGAGCCAAUAGACAGCAGCAAUUCCACUAGUCUCUCUCACACCAGCUGCGAAGGUUUUCAAAGACUGACGUGUGACUCCUGUUUCUGGCCCAGGAGGAGAAGCACAUAGUGUCACCUGUCAGUGGUCUGGAGUUUGACCGAGAGGGCAAUACCAGUCCCAAAACAAAAUUAAACAAGGGCUCCAACGUCUGUCACAUGCUGAAAUUCAAAUGUGAGCAAUGGGGGCUUAGGAGGAGAACCCCGACACAAGGCACUUCUUAAGACACAGAUCCUUGUCCAGUUACAUUCAUUUGACUAUUAGCCACUCUGUUAGGAUUGCUCUCUGGAGAAGCCAAAAUCUGAACCAUUCUAUGGACUUCUGUAGAUAAAGUUCAAACCACUGAA